GCUUACUGAAGAUGACCUUAGAGGAAAGACGCAAAGAAUACCUAAGGGACUACGUUCCCCUGAACACUAUUCUAUCGUGGAAGGAGGAAGUGAAGGGCAAGAGCCAAAAUGAUGGAUGCAUCUCUAAUGGUUGAAGAAGUGGUGGAGGACAACAUGGAGAGAGUGCCUGAGGAUCCUUGCCUGGGACAAUUUAUGGGAAGAAAAAUCUUACAGCUUGGUUACAAUGAAAAGACCUCUUUUAUCUCAUCUUGUCUUCCAAUUCAUUUUUUAUCAAGAAAUUCUCAUUGAAGACUCCUUGAGAAGAGUCUGUUUUGAAGAAGGAAAGGGAAAUACUGUUGAGACAAGAAGGCAAACAGAGCAAAAAAGUGAUAGAAACAUAUAUUUUUUAUUGUGUGCCAAUAGGACUUCACAGAAUGAACAUGGAGAGCUGAGAAGGAAGAAAAUUAAGAAAUGACCGAAUUUCGUGGGUCCUGAUGGAAAAAUGUUGGCCGUCUACUAAAGCAGAAAGGCAGUUGAUGCUUUAGUUCCAGGAUUCUCUGUCUGCUGUGUGUAGUUAUCAUAAACUGUUUUCACUUUCAUAAUCAAUCCUUUGUCCUCUGAGAGUGAUGGUACUCUUGCCUCUUUUUGAGCAGUACUUCAAAAGAUGAAUGAAAAUACAGUCUGCCAAAACCUAAAAAGUACAUUUAUUUAUCAUAGAACUUUGCAAGGUACCCCUCUUGUUUUUAAAAUUCUGUAGAGCUCAAAACCAACCACUCAUUGUAGAGUUUUUUUAAAUCAAUAAAUAUAUUUUCAAGAUGAA